GACAGAGGGUGCAAACGUUGUUCGGAAUUACUGGGCGUGAAGCGAGUGUAGGCGGUUUGGUAAGUCGGAUGUGAAAGCCCCGGGCUCAACCCGGGAAGUGCACUCGAUACUGCCAAGCUAGAGUAUCGGAGAGGUUGGUGGAAUUCUCGGUGUAGAGGUGAAAUUCGUAGAUAUCGAGAGGAACACCGGUGGCGAAGGCGGCCAACUGGACGAAUACUGACGCUGAGACUCGAAAGCGUGGGGGAGCAAACAGGA
rnacentral:rRNA from 1 species